rnacentral:piRNA from 1 species
UGUUAGAUGCCUUACUUGACCUUCCUAGGA